rnacentral:lncRNA from 1 species
AGCCACCAGAGGGCGCCAGAGCCCGCCAAGCCUCGUAGGAGAUGGCAACAGGGCCUGCUGCUGCCACCUAGCGGCCAAUUCCGGGAAUGAAUCUCGGCACGCUCAUUACCCAGCGACUCUGCCCAUCUUGACCCUUUAUGUGAAGCAGAACAGCCGCUUCCGCAGUGAGCUGUCAGAAGGCGUCGUGCCUGUCUUGCUAGUGGGGAAACUGAGGCUCAGAGAGGCAGAAGACUUGCCCAAGAUCACACCACCGGGACCCAGGAUUCAAGCGCAGGCCUGCCCAGGCUCUCUGUGGCCUCCUGGCUGCGAGGAGGCAGCCAGGGACCAGGUGCCACCCUUCUGAGACACCUGAGAUCCCAGGCCCGAGAGGAUGAAGGCGGGAUUACCUGGAGCGUGUCUGAAUGCUGGAGGAAGAAGGGCAGCUGGGAGAUGAAGCUGUCAGGAUGGGCCGCAUCCCAUUUCCUGCCUCGUUUCAGUUCAACUUUCCAACAGACCUCCCUGGCUCGUCUUGCUCUUCUCUAAUGGACAAACAAACAGGCUCAGAGAGGUGGUGUGACUUGCCCAAGGUCACUCAGCUUGGAUGCUAUGGAACAGGGACGUCCACUGUCCCAGUCUGUUUAUGGGAAGCCGCUCUGCAACUGUCCUGACCCACCACAUGCCCCACCGCUGUUUCUCUUGCCCUGACCCCUUGUUCCCUGGACCAGGGUGGCACAGCUCCAGGCUCUUGGGCCCUUCCCGAGGGCAGGCACCUGUGACUGUGUCCCCAAAGACCUGAGUGGCUGAGGGGGCCCCACAGAGCUUGGACUUCCUGGAGGACAAGGAGGGGUCUGCCAGCCACCCCCACCACGCCCGCCCCAGGGCUCCCCUGGAGCUUCCAUGCCAGCCGGACUCAGGACCCCUGUGAUCACACUGGCCCCCCCACCGGAUGACCCAGGAUAAUCCAUCUCCCUGUUUGAAGGUCGGCUGAUUAGCAACCUUCAUUCCAUCUGCCUCCUUCAUUCCCCCUGGCCAUGUAAUGGGAUUCACAGCUUCUGGGGAUUAGGACAUGGACAUCUUGUGGCGGGGGCAUAAUUCUGUCGACGACACCAAGAAACACUUGGAUGUUAAGGAUUCACCGAACACUGUUCAGGCUCCAGGUGCUGGGAGCAGCAGUGAACAAAGCCAACAGACACUGCCACCCUCAAGGAGUUCACGUUCAUGGGCGAGGGAACAGAUGAGAAACCCGGCAAUGAAAGCUCCACCAUCUCUUCCCCUAAAGGCAACCACCAUUCUGAUUUCUCUCACCAAAGACUGGAAAAAUAUCCCAAUACCUGGAUGUAUGCCUCACGUGUCCCGCUGGCCCCAGCACCCAGGUAUAGUUAGUUACUGCUGUGCCUGGCUUCACUCUCACUUUUUUUUUUUUUUUCUUUUUUUGAGACAUAGUCUCGCUCUGUAGCCCAGGCUGGAGUGCAGUGUGGCACAAUCUCAGCUCACUGCAACCUUCACCUCCCAGGUUCAAGCGAUUCUCCUGCCUCAGCCUCUCGAGUAGCUGCGACUACAGGUGCCCACCACCACACCUGGCUAAUUUUUGUAUUUU